rfam:Schistosoma curassoni strain Dakar, Senegal genome assembly, scaffold: SCTD_scaffold0000759
AGCUUUUCGAAUCCGUGCUGAGAUUUCUUCAGACACCAACCCAUUAUGGCUGAUCAAACUUCCAAGAUAAGUGAAGUU